rnacentral:rRNA from 1 species
UACGAGGGGGGCAAAUGUUGUUCGGAAUCACUGGGCGUAAAGGGAGCGUAGGCGGGCUUCUAAGUUAGAUGUUUAAUCCCGGGGCCCAACCCCGGACAGGCACCUAAAACUGGAAGUCUUGAAUAGUGGAGAGGACGGCGGAAUUGGGGGUGUAGCGGUGGAAUGCGUAGAGAUCCCCAAGAACACCAGUUGCGAAGCCGGCCGUCUGGACACAUAUUGACGCUGAGGCUCGAAAGCAUGGGGAGCAAACAGG